AUUGUUAGUUGCCAUCAUUCAGUUGGGCACUCUAGCGAGACUGCCGGUAAUAAACCGGAGGAAGGUGGGGAUGACGUCAAAUCAUCAUGCCCCUUAUGACCUGGGCUACACACGUGCUACAAUGGUUGGUACAACGAGUUGCGAGUCGGUGACGGCGAGCUAAUCUCUUAAAGCCAAUCUCAGUUCGGAUUGUAGGCUGCAACUCGCCUACAUGAAGUCGGAGUCGCUAGUAAUCGCGGAUCAGCACGCCGCGGUGAAUACGUUCCCGGGCCUU
rnacentral:rRNA from 1 species